CAGUUGGAAGAAGUCAGCUACAUC
rnacentral:siRNA from 1 species